AACUGGGCCAAGCCCAACGCCACAAUCCUCCGCAUCCACUGCACCCCGCUCCAGCCGACCACUUGAUGCGGACGGACGCGACCCCAGACUACGACGGGAUCCGGAGGGGGUCGUCCUCCCUGCAUCCCGAAACUGGGCGCCGAGCCUGGAGCGGGGCUGUGGCUCCGCGUGCUCUCCGAGGGAGUCGUCCUCCACUGCAUCCCGAAGCUGGGCGUCGACGAGCUCCGACGGUCCGGAUCGACCUCUCCCCAGUCCGCUCGUCGCGGCGGCGCAGGCGGAAGAAAUUGGCCGGAGUUAGGUGAGGGAGAGAGAAACCCAAAGAGGGCAGUGGCGGCCUCACAGCCUGCACCACACGGAUCCAUCCUCCCCCGCACGGAUCCGGCCUUCACCAUCUCCCCUCGGUUGUUCUUCGUCUUCCACAACACGACUCAGUGACAUGGAGGCCCGACGCCCUUCCCAGAUCGCGAGCAAGAGCAGCUGCCGGGUCGCCCCGGAGUCCUUCUCUCACAGCGCUUGGUCUCCAGUGCCCGCAGCCACGACCCGGUCAGCUGGCCACGACUCCGUGCUAUUUGUGGCCACGAUCGACAUCCGCGCUCCGUAACUGGGAAAGGCGGGUUCUUUCUCGGACUACAAGUGCCUGGACGUGAUUUGUUUAUGCUUUCCGGGGUUUCUUGUUCGUAUUGCUUUAGCCUGAAUCCUAACGUAAUUUGAAAAUGUGCGUUGUUGGGUUCGCCCAUUUGGAUGGUUCCUAACAUGGGGGCGUCUUGUGUCUGUGGUAGUAGUGGUGGCGCAGACAAGAGCGGUAAGCACGGUGGAGAGCCAGCCGCUGAAGGUCUUUCAGACAUUGUGGUUACUUGGAUAAUCACAAAUUUCAGCAGGAUCAAUAGGACGAAGCACUACUUGGAUGUGUUUGUUAUCGGUGCAUACAAAUGGUGUGUUCUUCUUUUCCCCAAAGGGAAUAAAGUGGAGCACCUUUUGAUGCAAGUACUUGAUACUCAACCAUCUGCUCAAUUUAUCUUGGCGCAGAAGGUUCCGUGACGGGACGGUGUCCGACACAGAAGCUACGACCGCGGCAGGCCACUGACGAUGUGCAUCGGUGCAGGCAAGGUGCAAAGAAUUCAGUCACCGAAAAGUACAAAUUCAACCUCUUCGCAAGCCCCACAAUCCUUGCUUGCAAUACAGAGGAGGUACAAGAAUUUGGUAACAUUGAUAGUAAAAUCAAAUGUGAUAGAUGGAAGCUAACUGAGACCACACUAAAGGGCUGCAGUGUGUGAAGAACAGCUACGCCUCAAUGGCCGAGUACCUAGGCAUCCUCGAACCGCUGCUGGUCCGUGUGGUUCCAGAAGGUUCCAGUGGUGUGUCGUACGUUGCCAACAUUAUUCCCCUUGAACAAAUGAAGGAAAUAACCAAGAAUUUCAGCAGUGAUGCUCUUAUGGGAGAGGGGUUGGCAUGCGGGAGUUCUAUUUGGUGUACUGAAAAAUGGCAAGAAAUGUGUGGUAAAGAUGCCCGACUCUAGCAAACAGCCUGACCAAGAUUCCCUUGCGUAGGUUCAGACCCUAUUUUGUUCCCUUGCGUAGGUUUCAAGACUCAAGCAUGACAAUGUCAUACAGUCUGCGACAAGGUUUACACCAUGGUGAGGAACAGUAACUAAGCAUUCUACUUUCAUAGACUCUUAGUGUGUUGCAUUCACGACAGAAGCUUUCAGCCUCAAAUUGCAUAACGCUUGUUGAGGUAAAAAGGGUGUCAAGGGAUCCCAGCCAGGAUAAGUCUUAUCAUCGAUCCAUCGGGCUUUUUCUUUUAGGCAUUUUCUCACAUCAAAGAUUAUUUCCAGUGUCCUAUGGACAUAAGAAUUGAAGCAAAUCUCUGAAAGUUAAUAACUUGCUAUAACUCCUUUCUACACAUUGGCCAAAACAUCUGUACUGGUGAUAAACUAUCAUGAUGGAGCCAAGGUUAUUGUAUGAAAUCUCAAUUGUUAUUAGAGAUCUGCACCUUCGCGAAUCUACGGCCAUAUCUUUCUGGUACCUGAAGCCUGGUGUCUACUGAACUGAGCGCUGCAACUUAAUGGAGCAGUUACACCAAUUUCUUAUUUGUGAGUUCUUUGAUCCCGCCUCCUUAUGUACCUCUUUGCUGGUACCUUCUACUCUUUGUUUGGCUUGCAGGUCACAACUCCUCACAUCUCCUAGAACUAACUAACUUGCUUAUGCUUAUUAUUUCUGCAAUUCUACCAUGUAGGUUCGUGAGAAGCUUUUGGAUGGCUUAGAAAUGGUGAGGAAAUUUGUUCUCUAUUCAAGUAUAACUAACAUAUGAUAGUUUUAUCUUAUUUACAGCCUAGACAUUGAUAGCCUGAGUGUGCUUGAGGGACAUUUUCCGAGUAUGAUGGCCUGUUCCUACAUUAAGAGUGCAUAUCCUGUACACGCCGCAAGGAAAUGGAUGAUGCGACAAAGAGGCAGGGGAGGACGCGAUUGUAGUGGCAGCAACAAGGAGGCAAGGGAUGGGGAUGAGAUGUUUUUUGCCUCAGCAGUGGGGAUGGGGCUGUCCUCGCACUGGCGGCGAAGAGGCAGGUCGUUCGGAGAGAUAGUGAGAGGGAGUGAGCUUGAGAGUGGAGAAUUGGGAUUAUGAGUGAGGCUGAGUUUUUCUUCUGAUGUGUCCAUGUCCGUUCGGCUGUUUAGCAUUAACGAGUUCUUUUUUGUCUAUAUAAAGGUCAAGAUUGUAAAGGGUUCAUACAAAAUGUUUGUAAAGGGAUUAAAACAUAUGUUAUUUAAGAUCGUUUUAAAUUCAAUAUCAGUGCAUUGAUAUUUUUGUGAUA